GGUACUGAAUCAACGUUCAAGCAUCAUCUUUGGAAGCAUUAGGGGGUGUCUGGUGGAGAUUAGAUGCAAUUUUUGGCCUUCAUACAGGAAUGGAUAUUUGCCAAUUAAACAUCAAAAAAUAAGAAAAAAGAUAUCUUGGCCAUUUUAGAUUCUAUUCGAGGGUGUUGAAGCCGUCAAAUAUAGUUGAUGCCAUUGCUCUAAUUUGAUUUGGAAAAUGACCCAAAAAUCAAUAUCAACAGUUGUAGUAUUUUGUCUUUCAGA